UACAGAGGUCUCAAGCGUUGUUCGGAAUUACUGGGCGUAAAGAGUGUGUAGGCGGUGUUCUAAGUUUGUCGUGAAAUCUCCCGGCUUAACUGGGAGGGUGCGGCGAAAACUGGAAUGCUAGAGGAUGGGAGAGGUAAGCGGAAUUCCUGGUGUAGCGGUGAAAUGCGUAGAUAUCAGGAGGAACACCUGUGGUGUAGACAGCUUACUGGACCAUUUCUGACGCUGAGACACGAAAGCGUGGGUAGCAAACAGG
rnacentral:rRNA from 1 species